GAUGAACGCUGGCGGCGUGCUUAACACAUGCAAGUCGAACGGAAAGGCCCUGUUUUUGUUGGCUGCUCGAGUGGCAAAGGGGUGAGUAACACGUGAGUAACCUGCCCUUGACUUUGGGCUAACUUCAAGAAACUAGUGCUAAUACAGGAUAGCUGCUCCUGCAUCAUGGUGGGGAUUGGAACGUUUCGGCGGUUGGGGAUGGACUCGCGGCUUAUGAGCUUGUUGGUGGGGUAGUGGCUUACGAAGGCUUUGAUGGGUAGCCGGCCUGAGAGGGUGACCGGCCACAUUGGGACUGAGAUACGGCCCAGACGCCUACGGUAGGCAGCAGUGGGAAAUAUGACACAAUGGGCGGAAGCGUGAUGCAGCAACGCCGCGUGCGGGAUGACGGCCUUCGGGUUGUAAAACGCUUUCGCCUGGGACGAAGCGUGAGUGACGGUAAUGGGUGAAGAAGCACCGGCUAACUACGUG
rnacentral:rRNA from 1 species